rnacentral:misc_RNA from 1 species
UCUCCCUCCAUGUUAACUUUUCCUUCUUUUCUUCUUCCUUUCUUAGUGUUUUGGUCUUUUUUUUUUCUUUGAUUUUCUUUGUUCUUUUAGUUUUUUGUGUUUUUUCUUGAAAUAAUCUUCAGAUCUUGUGUUUUUUAUGUGAUUUCUUAUAUAGGUGUCGUUAGAUCUAUCGGUUUUCUACCUCAUUUUGAAGAUUUAUGUCUUCUCCAUCUAGGGUGGAGAUUUUGUUUUUGUUGGAUCUAUGUUUAGUGUGCAAAGCUUAUUCGUAGAAGGUGAUUUUCUUAAAUUGGAGCCCUGUAGCUAGUCAGCCUGUUCCUUCAAUGGAAUCUGUGGUUCUUGCCUUUGCGUUUGUUCAUUCGCAACUCGUCCUUGGAAUUUUGAACCACUUUAAAUAUCUGCUUGUUUAUUUG